rnacentral:rRNA from 1 species
GCAAGUCGAACGCGAACGGUUUCUUCGGAAACCUAGUAGAGUGGCGCACGGGUGAGUAACGCGUAAGUAAUCUACCCUGGCAUCUGGGAUAACAAUUCGAAAGGAUUGCUAAUACCGGAUACGCUGGUAACAGGAAAGGUGGCCUCUGUUUCAUGCUACUGUGCUGGGAGGAGCUUGCGUACCAUUAGCUAGUUGGUGGGGUAAUGGCCUACCAAGGCAACGAUGGUUAGCGGGUCUGAGAGGAUGAUC